rnacentral:rRNA from 1 species
GACGAACCGUGCAAACGUUGCUCGGAAUCACUGGGCUUAAAGGGCGCGUAGGCGGCUCGCGAGGUCGGGGGUGAAAUCCCACAGCUUAACUGUGGAAGUGCCUUCGAUACCGGCGGGCUGGAGGAAGGUAGGGGUGCGCGGAACUUCUGGUGGAGCGGUGAAAUGCGUUGAUAUCAGAAGGAACGCCGGCGGCGAAAGCGGCGCACUGGACCUUUUCUGACGCUGAGGCGCGAAAGCCAGGGGAGCAAACGGG